CCUUUACCACAGACAGAGGGAACUUCAAGACAAAAGUGAAUUUUCAGUUGUCAACAAGCUAAAUUUUAAGGACAAUGACGAAUUUGACUCACCUUUUAAAGAUUUAGAAAACCUCAUUUUUUAGUGAAAGAGUGGAGAUAAAAGAAUAUUAAGAGUCCAGAAUCUGGUGUCCUGGCUAUGGCCCUGCUUUAGACUGUUUCUCUUUGUCAUCACUUUAUGCAGGAAACGUGCCCAGGUGUCUUGAAAUGGAUGAGUUCUCUUCUGGAGGUAUGCCUCAUGUGGAUGCAUAUCUGGAGGUAUGUCUCAUGUGGGCACUGCUGCAGCUGCUGUGCCAAUCUCAUAUCAGCACCCAAGAUUUUCUCAUGAAGGACCAGAUGACUCUUGAAAACCAGGUUUGCUCUCCAGCUUCUAUUGCAAUAUAAUGAGAAGAUACAUAACAUUUACCCCUUUGUAAAUGUUUCUCUGUCAUCAGACAAAACUCUCGAUAGAAAUCACUGUGUAAUCCAGUGUAUUUGUUUUUUCCUAAUUGUAUUUGAUACUAUAGUGUAUGAACCAAGAAUAAUCAAGUCAAGUGAAACCCCUUUUCCAGUCAUAAAAUGUCUCAUUCAUUACACUAAAAGGAGCUGUUCUUUUUAAAAAACAUUCUUAUUUUGGUCUCAAAUUUUUAAAUGUGUUUAACCUAUCUUAUUUGUCAAAUCUAGGCCUAUAUUUGGGAAGGGUAAGCUGUGUUCUUUCCUCUGAAGAGCUGGGCUGCCUUCUGUAAAACAAGAGGCCAUUUUUCCCAGCGCAUUUCUGUUUUCUACCUGAACAUUAAAAUACAGAUUUUUCUAGGCAUUAGAAAUAGUACAAUAUUGCCUCUGGUCUUUGCAUUUGAUGCCUGUGGCUUUAGUAAUUGUGUCCCUCCAGAAUUUAUAUGUUGGAAUUUAAACACCCCAGAAUGGUAGAAGUAAAAAUUCAAGAUUUUGGGAGGCAAAUAAGAGAGCAAUUAGCGACCUUAUAAAAGAACUCAAUGGAACUAACAAAGCUUUUUAGCCCUUCCACCAUUAGAGGAGACACUGUAUUUGUCCUCUCUAGAGAACGCAGCAACAAAGGGCCAUCUUGGAAGCAGAGACCAGGCCUUCACCAGACAUGGAGACCAUCAAUGCCUUGAUCUUGGACUUCUCAGUCUCUAAAACUGUAAGAAAUUUAUUUCUGGUUUUAUAAGUUACCCAGUCCAAUGUAUUGUGUUAUAGCAGCAGGAAUGUACUGAGAUAGCAUCUUUAUUGUGGAACCAUUGGUCCUCAUACUUAAUGAAUGGGCUUCAAGUGUUUCAUUAAUUUUAAAACACAUGGCUCCUUCUUUACAAUUGAUUUCAUUUUUAUUUUCUAAAAAUCAACGUUUACAAUGCAGAACUGGAAAAAAAAAUCUCUACUGAAACCUGUAGAUUGUCCUAGGUUUUUUGGCAGAAUCACUGUGGAUAAUUUAGAGGCUGCCUGUGAUCACAUCUAUGUAUUAUUU
rnacentral:antisense_RNA from 1 species